rnacentral:rRNA from 1 species
CAGUAGCCGCGGGAAUACGUAGGUGGCAAGCGUUGUCCGGAAUUAUUGGGCGUAAAGGGCUCGCAGGCGGUUUCUUAAGUCUGAUGUGAAAGCCCCCGGCUCAACCGGGGAGGGUCAUUGGAAACUGGGAAACUUGAGUGCAGAAGAGGAGAGUGGAAUUCCACGUGUAGCGGUGAAAUGCGUAGAGAUGUGGAGGAACACCAGUGGCGAAGGCGACUCUCUGGUCUGUAACUGACGCUGAGGAGCGAAAGCGUGGGGAGCGAACAGGAUCAGAUACCCCGGUAGUCCCUGUCUCUUAUAC